CAGCAGCCGCGGUAAUACGUAGGGUCCGAGCGUUGUCCGGAAUUACUGGGCGUAAAGAGCUCGUAGGUGGUUUGUCGCGUUGUUCGUGAAAACUCACAGCUCAACUGUGGGCGUGCGGGCGAUACGGGCAGACUGGAGUACUGCAGGGGAGACUGGAAUUCCUGGUGUAGCGGUGGAAUGCGCAGAUAUCAGGAGGAACACCGGUGGCGAAGGCGGGUCUCUGGUCUGUAACUGACGCUGAGGAGCGAAAGCGUGGGGAGCGAACAGGAUUAGAUACCCCCGUAGUCCCUGUCUCUUAUAC
rnacentral:rRNA from 1 species